CAUGCAAGUCGAACGAGGAUAUAUCCUUCGGGAUAUAAGCCGAGUGGCGCAAGGGUGAGUAAUGCAUAGAUUACCUGCCUCUAGGAUAAGGACAACUUUGUGAAAACGAAGCUAAUACUUAAUAAUACAAAAGAAAAUAAUUUUCUUUUGUCAAUGGGAGGGUAGCAAUACCUUUUGCCUAGAGAGGGGUUUAUGUCCUAUCAGCUUGUUGGUGGGGUAAUGGCCUACCAAGGCGAAGACGGGUAGCCGGUCUUAGAGGAUGGUCGGCCACACUGGGACUGAGACACUGCCCAGACUUCUACGGAAGGCUGCAGUCGAGAAUCUUUCGCAAUGCCCGAAAGGGUGACGGAGCGACGCCGCGUGAGUGAGGAAGGCCUUAGGGUUGUAAAGCUCUGUCAGGAGUUAAGAAAUAUAAGUGUGUUAAUACCACGUUUAUUUGACGAAGGCUCCAAAGGAAGCCACGGCUAACUCUGUGCCAGCAGCCGCGGUAAUACAGAGGUGGCAAGCGUUGUUCGGAAUUAUUGGGCGUAAAGAGCACGUAGGUGGGUUUGUAAGUCAGAUGUGAAAGCCUUCUGUUCAACGGAAGAAUUGCAUCUGAAACUGCAAGUCUUGAGUGUAGGAGGGGAGAAUGGAACUUCUGGUGGAGCGGUGAAAUGCGUAGAUAUCAGAAGGAACGCCGGCGGCGAAAGCGAUUCUCUGGCCUAUUACUGACACUCAGUGUGCGAAAGCUAGGGGAGCAAACGGGAUUAGAUACCCCGGUAGUCCUGGCCGUAAACGAUGGGCACUAAGUAGAGGGAAUUACCGAUGUUCUCUCUGCCGUAGCUAACGCAUUAAGUGCCCCGCCUGGGGAGUACGGCCGCAAGGCUAAAACUCAAAAGAAUUGACGGGGGCUCGCACAAGCGGUGGAGCAUGUGGCUUAAUUCGAUGCAACGCGAAAAACCUUACCGGGGCUUGACAUGGUAGAAGUAGGAACCCGAAAGGGUAACGAACGGUAUCCAGUCCAUAGCUAUCACAGGUGUUGCAUGGCUGUCGUCAGCUCGUGUCGUGAGACGUUGGGUUAAGUCCCCUAACGAGCGAAACCCUUGUUUUUAGUUACCAGCGGGUUAUGCCGGGUACUCUAGAAAGACUGCCGUCGUCAAGACGGAGGAAGGUGGGGAUGACGUCAAGUCAUCAUGGCCCUUAUGCCCCGGGCUGCACACGUGCUACAAUGGUCGGUACAAACGGAAGCGAAGCCGAGAGGUGAAGCGAAUCCUAAAAAGCCGAUCUCAGUUCGGAUUGGAGGCUGAAAUUCGCCUCCAUGAAGUUGGAAUCGCUAGUAAUCGCGGAUCAGCAAUGCCGCGGUGAAUAUGUUCCCGAGCCUUGUACACACCGCCCGUCAAGCCACCCAAGCAGGAUGCACCCGAAAACAUUAUAUCUAACCAGGGCAACUUGGAGGAAAGUGUUGAAGGAGUGUUUUGUGAGGAGGACUAAGUCGUAACAAGGUAGUCGUAGGAGAACCUGCGGCUGGAUCACCUCCUUUCU
rnacentral:rRNA from 1 species